AUAUAGAGGAGAUUUGCUUAAGUUGUUAGGCCGUUAGGAGAGUUUGUUAGGCUGUUAGUUUGCUAUAACAGAAUGACUAGCUGUAUGGAGAUUGUCAAUUAUUUAUCCAUAUGAAAAUUAGCUGUAUUAUAGCUAGAAGACAGCUGAUGUUGAGCUGAAUAACAACUGUGAGAUAAUUGUUUGCACUUUAGGACUUACAUCAGUAUAUUACCGAUAUGAAUCACCUUAGAUCGGUAAUUGGC
rnacentral:lncRNA from 1 species